rnacentral:rRNA from 1 species
ACUCCUACGGGAGGCAGCAGUGGGAAUAUUGCACAAUGGGGAAAGCCAUCGAUGCAGCCAUGCCGCGCUGUGUGAAGAAGGCCAAUUCGGGCUUGGUUAAAGACACUUUCAGUAGGGAGGAAGGUAGUGUAGUUAACACCUGCAUUAUUUGACGUUACCUACAGAAGAAGCACCGGCUAACUCCGUGCCAGCAGCCGCGGUAAUACGGAGGGUGCGAGCGUUAAUCGGAAUUACUGGGCGUAAAGCGCAUGCAGGCGGCCUGUUAAGUCAGAUGUGAAAGCCCGGG